CGUGGAGUGUUUUCGAGGUUUUAGAUAUUUCGGACGGCGUACAAGGUGUCUUGGGACGGCGACGCGAACACUCGAGGAGGCUAUUACGACGCCGAGAUCCUCGAACUGACGGGGCUGUGCAUUCUACAAAGGGCAGCGAUCGGACUGUCCUCUCAUCUCGACAACUUUUCUGUCGCUGUACCAUCAUAACGCUACUGUUCGAUGGGUAAUUCGUUUUCAGGACUACCUGCGGCUCGGCUGUUGAUGCGGGAGGUGCUGUAGGGCCCUACUGCCUAACACAUCCAUGUCGGGCAAGGUGUGCACGUCAACCAGGAAUGCGGGCAACAUGCGGAAAGCAGAGUGCGACUCCAUGUUUUGCAAGAUCACCGCUGCUUCCAUAGGGCUGCUUUUGACUACACCUGAGGGAGAAAGGUACCGCCAGGCUGAAAGGGCAGCCCGGCACCAGAAGAUACGGCGGUACCUGUCAGAAAAGCUGUCCAAUCUCAAGAGAAAUCACUACAAAGGCUCAUCCCUUUGCUGCCUGUCCUCCCCCGAUGCGUGGUCCCACCACGGACUGCCCAUGCUGUUGCAGGUCUGCCAUCGCUUGCACCCCAUGUUGUAGCCUUUUUACCCUUUUCUUAUUAAUUUAGCUUAAUUUAUA